UACGUAGGGGGCAAGCGUUGUUCGGAUUCAUUGGGCGUAAAGGGUGCGUAGGUGGCGCCAUAAGUCAGGUGUGAAAUCUCGGGGCUCAACCCCGAAACUGCAUUUGAUACUGUGGUGCUCGAGUACUGGAGAGGAGAUUGGAAUUUACGGUGUAGCAGUGAAAUGCGUAGAUAUCGUAAGGAAGACCAGUGGCGAAGGCGAAUCUCUGGACAGUUACUGACACUGAGGCACGAAAGCGUGGGGAGCAAACAGG
rnacentral:rRNA from 1 species